UUGAAACACCAGUUUCCAUAUUAUCACUGAAGUUAAGCAAUGUUGAGCCUGGUCAGUACCUAGAUGGGUAACUGCUUUGGAAUACCAAGUGCUGUAAG